rnacentral:miRNA from 1 species
AACUGUUUUUGUUUUGGA